UUCUGGGAGGAUUGACAGAUUGAGAGCUCUUUCUUGAUUAUGUGGGUGGGGGUGCAUGUCCGUUCUUAGCUGGUGAACGAUUUGUCUGGUUAAUUCCGUCAACGAACGAGACUCUAGCCUACUAAAUAGGUGCGUGGUUCUCUGCACCUCGCACCCUUCUUAGAGGGACAAGCGGCCCAUAGCCGCACGAAACAGAGCAAUAACAGGUCUGUGAUGCCCUUAGAU
rnacentral:ncRNA from 2 species